CCGCGGUAAUACGGAGGGUGCGAGCGUUAAUCGGAAUUACUGGGCGUAAAGCGUCAUGCAGGUGGUUUGUUAAGUCAGAUGUGAAAGCCCGGGGCUCAACCUCGGAAUUGCAUUUGAAACUGGCAAACUAGAGUACUGUAGAGGGGGUAGGAAUUUCAGGUGUAGCGGUGAAAUGCGUAGAGAUCUGAAGGAAUACCGGUGGCGAAGGCGGCCCCCUGGACAGAUACUGACACUCAGGUACUGCGAAAGCGUGGGGAGCCAAACAGGAUUAGAUACCCCUGGUAG
rnacentral:rRNA from 1 species